rnacentral:rRNA from 1 species
AAUAGAUACCCAGGUAGUCCACGCCGUAAACGAUGGAUGCUAGCUAUUGGGGGGAAUCGACCCCCUCCGAAGCGAAGCUAACGCGUUAAGCAUCCCGCCUGAGUAGUACGAGCGCAAGCUUAAAACUCAAAGGAAUUGACGGGGACCCGCACAAGCGGUGGAGCGUGUGGUCUAAUUCGAUGGUAAACGAAGAACCUUACCAAGGUUUGACAUCCCGGUAGCCGUUCUCCGAAAGGAGAAUUUCAUUUAGUUGGACCGGUGACAGGUGAUGCAUGGCCGUCGUCAGCUCGUGUCGUGAGAUGUUGGGUUAAGUCCCGCAACGAGCGCAACCCUUAUGAUUUAGUUGGAUUUUUCUAAACAGACUGCCCUGGUAACAGGGAGGAAGGAGGGGAUGAUGUCAGGUCAGUAUUUCCCUUACACCUUGGGCGACACACGCGCUACAAUGGCCGGUACAAUGGGCAGCUAAGCCGCGAGGUGGAGCAAAUCCCAUCAAAGCCGGUCCCAGUUCGGAUUGCAGGCUGAAACCCGCCUGCAUGAAGCCGGAAUCGCU